CAGCAGCCGCGGUAAUACGAGGGGUGCAAGCGUUAUUCGGAUUGAUUAGGUGUAAAGGGUGUGCAGACGGCUUAUUAAGUCACUUGUUAAAUUCUUCGGCCUAACUGAAGGUCUGCAAGUGAUACUGAUGAGCUAGAGGGUGGAAGAGAGAAGUGGAAUUCUCGGAGUAGCGGUAAAAUGCGUAGAUCUCGAGAGGAACACCAAUGGCGAAGGCAGCUUCUUGGUCCAUUCCUGACGUUCAUACACGAAAGCGUGGGGAGCAAACAGGAUUAGAUACCCCAGUAGUCCCUGUCUCUUAUAA
rnacentral:rRNA from 1 species